UGGGUUGUGGCUCAGUGGUAGAGCACUCGCCUCGCAUGUGUGAGGCACUGGUUUCAAUCCUCAGCACCACAU
rfam:Ictidomys tridecemlineatus contig070789, whole genome shotgun sequence.